CUCCACAUAGUGUGUUGAUGCACUUGUGGUCCAAACGUCACUAUUAAACAACACCUCCACCAAAAACGUCACCGCGGUGGGUCCGUUUUAAUAAGACAACAUUCAACUUGACAGUUCUGACAGCUCACGUCCUGGUAUCAAAGAUCUGGAAACAUUAAAACGAUGAGUUUGUUAAAAUAUUUCUCUAAGAAAAGGAAGACACCUGAAGAUGAAGAUAACCAGGAUAUGGACCAGCUUACCAUACUGAGCAAAC